rnacentral:rRNA from 1 species
CCUACGGGGGGCAGCAGUGGGGAAUAUUGCACAAUGGGGGAAACCCUGAUGCAGCGACGCCGCGUGAGUGAAGAAGUCUUUCGGUAUGUAAAGCCCUAUCAGCAGGGAAGAAACCCACCCUCCGGGGUGGCUGACGGUACUUGACUAAGAAGCCCCGGCUAAAUACGUGCCAGCAGCCGCGGGAAUACGGAGGGGGCAAGCGUUAUUCGGAUUUAUUGGGUGUAAAGGGAGCGUAAGUGGCAAGGCAAGUCAGAUGGGAAAACCCGGGGGCCAACCCAGGGAGUGCAUUUGAAACUGUAUGGCUAGAGUGCAGGAGAGGUAAGUGGAAUGCCUGGUGUAGCGGUGAAAUGCAUAGAUAUUAGGAAGAACACCGAUGGCGAAGGCAGCUUACUGGACUGUAACUGACACUGAGGCUCGAAAGCGUGGGGAGCGAACAGGAUUAGAUACCCCAGUAGUC